rnacentral:rRNA from 1 species
CGUAGUGCGCAAUACAAGAGCGUACGGUGGAUGCCUUGAUACUAUUGAACGAAGAAGGACGUAGCAAUCUGCGAUAAGCUUCGGUGAGGUGAUAAGCAACCUUUGACCCGGAGAUUUCCGAAUGGGGGAACCCAGCUUGAGUAAUGUCAAGUUAUUUCUAUGAUUAACGUCAUGGAGAAGAAGACCUGGUGAAGUGAAACAUCUCAGUAGCCAGAGGAAAAGAAAACGAAUUUAUUACUGAUUUUCAUUCAUUGAUCACACUUUGUGUGGUCCGUGAACUGAAGAUCUGUAAUGUGAUUCCCUAAGUAGUGGAGAGCGAUAGGGGAAAAGUCUAAACCUAUACAGUGUUGUAUUAUUUUAAUUUUAUCUUCGGAUAUUUUGAGAAUAAUACUUAAAGGACAGGCCGUUGCUGUAUGGGUGUUGUAAGAUGCAACAUUCGGAUACCUGUUAUGCCGGAUACAUAUAGUUAUUUAUAGUUGAAUAUUCCUGGAAAGGAAAACCAAAGAAGGUGAUAGUCCUGUAAACGAAAUAUAUAUCAAUAUGUAUGGUUGUACUCUUGAGUACGGCGGAACACGUGAAAUUCCGUCGGAAUCCAGGCCGACUAUGGUCUAAGACUAAAUAUCAAUAGUAAUCGAUAGUGAACAAGUACCAUGAGGGAAAGGUGAAAAGUAGCCCGGAGAGGGCGAUGAAAUAGAUUCUGAAACCGUAUGCUUACAAUGAGCGAGAGCCGGUACUUCGUACCGGAAUGUCUAAUUCACCUAAUUCAUCUAAUUCACCUAAUAAAAUACCAAAUAUCUAAUAUCUAAAUUUCAAAAUAUUUUUGAUUUUGGGAAUUGGAUUUUGGAAAUUUUAUUAGAAAUUAGAAAUUAGAAAUUAGAAAUUCCGACACGGAGUGUCGGUGAUCGUAUUCCUAUUGAAGAAUGAGCCUGCGAGUUAUUUUACGUGGCAAGGUUAAGACCCUCUGGGUAAUAGCCAUAGGGAAACCAAGUCUGAAUAGGGCGUUAAGUCGCGUGAAAUAGACCCGAAACCGGGUGAGCAAUCCAUGACCAGGAUGUAGGUUGUCGAAAGACAACUGGAGGUCCGAACACACGCGCCGUGCAACACGCGGUGAUGAGUUGUGGAUAGCGGAGAAAUUCCAAUCGAACUCGGUAAUAGCUGGUUCUCCUCGAAAUAGCUUUAGGGCUAGCUGUAUGUGUUCCCGUUGGGGGUAGAGCACUGGAUGAGAGUUGGGCGGUUCGCCGUACCAUUUUCAAUCAAACUCCGAAUACCAACGAUUAAAAACAUGCAAGUCAGACCAUGCGGGCUAAGCUGCAUAGGUCAAAAGGGAAACAGCCCAGACCGCCAAUUAAGGUCCCUAAAUUAUCACUAAGUGUAAAACGUGGUGAAGAUUCUUAUACAACCAGGAGGUUGGCUUAGAAGCAGCCAUCCUUUAAAGAUAGCGUAACAGCUCACUGGUCAAGAGUUUUCGCGCGGAAAAUGUACCGGGGCUCAAGUGAUAUACCGAAAUUGCGGAUUGUACUUUAUUUCGAUAAAGUACAGUGGUAGAGGAGCAUUCCUAACAGCAGUGAAGCCGUACCCGCGAGGGAUGGUGGAGCGUUGGGAAGAGAGAAUGCAGGCACAAGUAGCAAAAAUGCUGGUGAAAGUCCAGCACGCCGAAAACCUAAGGUUUCCAGGGCCACGUGAAUCGUCCCUGGGUUAGUCGAUCCUAAGGCCAGCCUAUCGCAAGGUAGGGUAACCGAUGGAAGAGCAGGUUAAUAUUCCUGCACUUAGUAUAGUUUGUUAUUAUAUGCGCAUCUCGACGGUAUAAGCGUUGUAUGGCUACACGUUUCGCAAGAUGAAGACUGCGGCUUCGGCCAAGGUCAACUUAUAUUAGAGAGGUGCCUAGAAAAGUAUAAUAACGCUCGGCUAUAUUAAUUCGUACCUAAACCGACACAGGUGGGUGGGUCGAGAAGACCAAGGCGCACGAGAGAAACAUUGUUAAGGAACUCGGCAAAACAGCGGCCGUAACUUCGGGAUAAGGCCUGCCCUGCCACCGCUUUGCGGUGGAAAUUCCAAAUUCGAAUUUCCAAAUUCGAAAUAAUAUUUAAAUAAAAAAUUUUAAAUUCAAAAUAGUUUUUAACUUUUGGAUUUAAUUAUUUAGAUUUGUUUCGGAUUUCGGAUUUCGUACUUCGGAUUUUCUGCCACGAAGUGGUGGUGGGGCCACAGCGAAAGACUUCAUGCGACUGUUUACCAAAAACACAGCUCCCUGCAAAAGCGAAAGCUGAAGUAUAGGGGGCGAUGCCUGGCCAGUGUCAGAACGUUAAGGGGCGGGGUGAAAUACCUUCGGGUAUGGAAGCUCUAAUCUGAAGCGCUGAUGAACGCCGGCGAUAACUAUAAUCGUCCUAAGGUUUUCAAGGGGAUGUAUCCUCUUGAAAAGGACUGGGACGAUUAUAUGUAAGUUCGUUGCCUAAUUAUUCAGUAAUGAAUAAAGUGUCCUAAAAUAGUUGGCUAUAUGCUGGAAAAUCUGGUGUAUCUAGCAUUACUAUAUUAAAUAUAGUAACAAUAUGACUAGUGCAGAAAACCAGCAGGAAAGACUUAUUAAAUAAAAUUAAAUAAGAAUCCUCAGAGACCAUACGCCAACCCCCCGCUGUACAGCGGGGUGAAGAGAUGGUCCGGUCUGUAUGGCGACAUACAGGUUCUAGUUAACCGUCUAGAACGCUAAUAAUUAAAUUAUUAGUAACACAACAAGCGAAAUUCCUUGUCGGGUGAGUUCCGACCCGCACGAAUGGCACAACGGUAUGAAGACUGUCUUAACAAUGUACUCGGCGAAAAUGCAAGUGUCGUGAAGAUGCGACAUAACCGCAGCUAGACGAAAAGACCCCGUGAAGCUUUACUACAGUUUGACAUUGGUAUAUUAUUUCAUAUGUUCAGUAUAGGUGGGAGCCUUCGGGCGCCAGUGAGAUACCACCCUUAUGUUGUGAUGUGCCUAAUCUUCUUGUCUGAAUCGGCUGGAGGAGACAGUGUCUGAUGGGUAGUUUAACUGGGGCGGUUGCCUCCCAAAUUUUAACGGAGGCGUUUACAAAGGUUGGCUUAUCCCGGAUGGAAAUCGGGAUGGACGUGCAAACGCAAAAGCCAGCUUUACUGCAAGGGUUACAGCCCGAGCAGUUACGAAAGUAGAAGUUAGUGAUCCGACCGUACGAUAUAGGACGGCGGAAGCUCAACGGAUAAAAGCUACUCCGGGGAUAACAGGCUGAUCGCGCCCAAGCGUCCACAGCGACGGCGCGGUUUGGCACCUCGAUGUCGGCUCAUCGCAUCCUGGGGGUGAAGAAGCUCCCAAGGGUUAGGCUGUUCGCCUAUUAAAGCGGUACGCGAGCUGGGUUCAGAACGUAGAUAACAUUGCGUUCUACCACAGAAAUGUGGUAUAAUAAACGUGGCUUAGAUCGGUGAAACCCUAAUGUUCUAAAAUCGAACGAGAACAAGGGCAAUACCGAGGGAAGAAUAUAAUCUUUGUUUUGUAUGGACACAGCAACUAAGGCAUACAUAUCUGGUUUUUUGGAUGGAGAUGGGUGUAUAAUGUUUCAAUUAGUUUAUAGACAUGAUUACAUCUACAAAUAUCAAAUUCGUGCGAGUAUUGUUUUUUAUCAAAAAACAAAAAAUCGCUGGAUACUUGAUUGGAUUCAUUCAAUACUGAUUGAUGGGUAUAUACGUAAUAGAAAUGAUGGAAUGACAGAAUAUACCAUUGUCGGCUUGAGACCAGUUAUGAAAGUUUUAGAACAAUUAUUACCGUUUCUUCGUUUAAAGAAGAAACAUGUAUUAUUGUCUAGAAAAAUAUAUGUUUUGUUGCCAUACAGAAAACGAAUUGAACCGAAGACUUUGCUAAAAGCAGCAAAGCUAGUUGAUAAAUUUGCAGAAUUAAAUUACUCAAAAAAGAGAAAAAAUACUGCAAAACAACUUUAUGAGGUACUCGUAAAAGAAGGUCAUAUUCCCUGUAACGACUGAUUCCUAGAAUUAACUGAAAGUUACUGAGGAAGAGAUGAGGAUUUCUGACAAGAAUAUUGAAUUUAUAAUCCUUAUAAUACGCCACCCCCUAACCUGCGCUGUGCGGGAAGGGAGAAGAUAUAGUCUGUGCCAUUAGUAAUAAUGGAAUAACAUGCGUGAGACAGUUCGGUCUCCUAUCUGCUGUGGUCGUCGAAUAUUGAAGGAACUCAUUCCUAGUACGAGAGGACCGGAAUGAACAAACCUCUGGUGUACCAAUUGUCAUGCCAAUGGCAUAGUUGGGUAGCUACGUUUGGCAUAGAUAAGCGCUGAAAGCAUCUAAGCGCGAAGCUAUUCCUAAGAUUAAUAUUCAUUUGAGAUCUGUCCGAGACUAGGACGUUGAUAGGCGCUAGGUGUAAGCCCUGCAAGGGGUUGAGCCGAGGCGUACUAAUCGAUCAAGUGUACUACGGA